rnacentral:lncRNA from 1 species
ACCGCCACAAUAAGUAUUUAUAGUUAUUAAAACAUGUCAUGUGUGAGACCAAAGAUUUUGCUGUUCCAUGAAUAUCUGAAGCACUCUUAAAUAAGUGUUUAUUAAGUUUUAUUUCAAGUUUUAUUUUAUCAUUAGUCAACUAUUUUAAUAAUGAUUUACUUGAUAAGUCAACCUGUGUGUGGACUUUUAUCUUCAAAAUACUAUACUUCUCUUGUUCUAUAAUAAUUAAUUAUUUGUAAGAAACACUCAAUUAUAAUU